rnacentral:rRNA from 2 species
AGCCUGAUGGAGCACACCGCGUGAGUGAAGAAGGGUUUCGGCUCGUAAAGCUCUGUUGUUGAAGAAGAAUGUGCAAGAGAGUAACUGUUCUUGUAUUGACGGUAUUCAACCAGAAAGUCACGGCUAACUACGUGCCAGCAGCCGCGGUAAUACGUAGGUGGCAAGCGUUAUCCGGAUUUAUUGGGCGUAAAGCGAGCGCAGGCGGUUUUCUAAGUCUGAUGUGAAAGCCUUCGGCUUAACCGAAGAAGGGCAUCGGAAACUGGAUGACUUGAGUGCAGAAGAGGGCAGUGGAACUCCAUGUGUAGCGGUGGAAUGCGUAGAUAUAUGGAAGAACACCAGUGGCGAAGGCGGCUGCCUGGUCUGUAACUGACGCUGAGGCUCGAAAGCAUGGGUAGCGAACAGGAUUAGAUACCCUGGUAGUCCAUGCCGUAAACGAUGAGUGCUAGGUGUUGGAGGGUUUCCGCCCUUCAGUGCCGGAGCUAACGCAUUAAGCACUCCGCCUGGGGAGUACGACCGCAAGGUUGAAACUCAAA